rnacentral:rRNA from 1 species
GACGAACGCUGGCGGCGUGCUUAACACAUGCAAGUCGAACGGACAGACCCUGCGCUUGUGGGGUGCUCGAGUGGCGAGCGGGUGAGUAACACGCGAGUAACCUGCCCUUGACUGUGGGAUAACUUCAGGAAACAGGGGCGAAUACCGGAUAGGAGCUCCUGCUGCACGGGGGGGGAUGGAAAGAUUCGGCGGUGGGGGAUGGACUCGCGGCUUAUGCGCUGGUUGGUGGGGUAGUUGCUUACAAAGGCUUUGACGGGUAGCCGGCCUGAGAGGUGGACCGGCCACAUUGGGCCUGCGAUACGGCCCAGACUCCUACGGGAGGCAGCAGUGGGGAAUAUUGCACAAUGGGCGGAAGCCUGAUGCAGCAACGCCGCGUGCGGGAUGCCGGCCUUCGGGUUGUAAACCGCUUUCGCCUGUGACGAAGCGUGCGUGACGGUAAUGGGUAAAGAAGCACCGGCUAACUACGUG